AACUCNGAGNAAUUGANGGGUGUCCUUAGNAGCUGAGGAGCAUGUGGUUUAAUUCGACGCAACNNUUANAACCUUACCUGGGCUCGAAAUGUAGAGGAAUCGGGCAGAAACGUNNGCGUCUUGCAAUAGACCGCUAUAUAGGUGCUGNGUGCCUGUCGUCUGCUCGNGUCGUGCGAUGUUGGGUUAAGUCCCGCAACGAGCGCNACCCUUAUCUUCAGNNGCUACNNUUUNAUNGAGNACUCUGACGAAACCGCCUCGGAUAACGGGGAGGAAGGUGGGGAUGACGUCAAGUCCUCAUGGCCUUUAUGUCUAGGGCUACACACGUGCUACAAUGGCCGAUACAAACCGCUGCAAACCCGCGAGGGGGGAGCUAAUCGGAAAAAGUCGGCCUCAGUUCGGAUUGGAGUCUGCAACUCGACUCCAUGAAGCUGGAAUCGCUAGUAAUCGUGGAUCAGCAUGCCACGGUGAAUACGUUCCCGGGCCUUGUACACACCGCCCGUCACAUCACGAAAGUGGGUUGCACUAGAAGUCGGUGCGCUAACCGCAAGGGAGCAGCCGCCCAAGGUGUAAUUCAUGAUUGGGGUGAAGUCGUAACAA
rnacentral:rRNA from 1 species